CCUACGGGGGGCAGCAGUGAGGAAUAUUGGUCAAUGGGCGGAAGCCUGAACCAGCCAAGUCGCGUGAGGGAUUAAGGCCCUGCGGGUCGUAAACCUCUUUUGCCGGGGAGCAGUGGUCCGGACGAGUCCGGGCCGGGAGAGUACCCGGAGAAAAAGCAUCGGCUAACUCCGUGCCAGCAGCCGCGGUAAUACGGAGGAUGCGAGCGUUAUCCGGAUUUAUUGGGUUUAAAGGGUGCGUAGGCGGGCAUUUAAGCCGGCGGUCAAAUGUCGGGGCUCAACCCCGGCCUGCCGUCGGAACUGGGUGCCUUGAGUGGGCGAGAAGUAUGCGGAAUGCGUGGGGUAGCGGUGAAAUGCAUAGAUAUCACGCAGAACCCCGAUUGCGAAGGCAGCAUACCGGCGCCCGACUGACGCUGAGGCACGAAAGUGCGGGUAUCGAACAGGAUUAGAUACCCUGGUAGUC
rnacentral:rRNA from 1 species